AUUGAACGCUGGCGGCAGGCCUAACACAUGCAAGUCGAACGGCAGCGGGGGAUAGCUUGCUAUCCUGCCGGCGAGUGGCGGACGGGUGAGUAAUGCAUGGGGAGCUGCCCAGUCGAGGGGGAUAACAACUGGAAACGGUUGCUGAUACCGCAUACGCCCUAAGGGGGAAAGGUGGGGAACUUCGGUCCUACCGCGAUUGGAUGCGCCCAUGUGGGAUUAGCUAGUUGGUGAGGUAACGGCUCACCAAGGCGACGAUCUCUAGCUGGUCUGAGAGGAUGACCAGCCACACUGGAACUGAGACACGGUCCAGACUACUACGGGAGGCAGCAGUGGGGAAUAUUGCACAAUGGGGGAAACCCUGAUGCAGCCAUGCCGCGUGUGUGAAGAAGGCCUUCGGGUUGUAAAGCACUUUCAGUCAGGAGGAAGGGGUGAUGGCUAAUAUCCAUCAUCAUUGACGUUACUGACAGAAGAAGCACCGGCUAACUCCGUGCCAGCCGCCGCCGUA
rnacentral:rRNA from 1 species